CCUACGGGAGGCAGCAGUGAGGAAUAUUGGUCAAUGGGAGAGAUCCUGAACCAGCCAAGCCGCGUGAGGGAAGACGGCCCUAUGGGUUGUAAACCUCUUUUGUCGGAGAACAAAACCCGGGACGUGUCCCGGACUGCGUGUAUCCGAAGAAAAAGCCUCGGCUAACUCCGUGCCAGCAGCCGCGGUAAUAAGGAGGAUGCGAGCGUUAUCCGGAUUUAUUGGGUUUAAAGGGGGCGUAGGCGGUCCGUUAAGUCAGCGGUAAAAUUGCGGGGCUCAACCCCGUCGAGCCGUUGAAACUGGCAGACUUGAGUUGGCGAGAAGUACGCGGAAUGCGCGGUGUAGCGGUGAAAUGCAGAGAGAUCGCGCAGAACUCCGAUUGCGAAGGCAGCGUACCGGCGCCAGACUGACGCUGAGGCACGAAAGCGUGGGGAGCGAACAGGAUUAGAUACCCCAGUAGUC
rnacentral:rRNA from 1 species